rnacentral:rRNA from 1 species
GACGAACCGUGCGAACGUUGUUCGGAAUCACUGGGCGUAAAGGGUGCGUAGGCGGGUCUUUAAGUCAGGGGUGAAAUCCUGGAGCUCAACUCCAGAACUGCCUUUGAUACUGAGGAUCUUGAGUACGGGAGAGGUGAGUGGAACUGCGAGUGUAGAGGUGAAAUUCGUAGAUAUUCGCAAGAACACCAGUGGCGAAGGCGGACUCACUGGCCCGUAACUGACGCUGAGGCACGAAAGCGUGGGAGC